AUUGAACGCUGGCGGCAGGCCUAACACAUGCAAGUCGAGCGAGUGGCGGACGGGUGAGUAAUGUAUGGGCAUCUGCCCGAUGGAGGGGGAUCACUACUGGAAACGGUGGCUAAUACCGCAUACUAUCGGAUGAACCCAUAUGGGAUUAGCUAGUGGGUGGGGUAAAGGCUAACCUAGGCGACGAUCUCUAGCUGGUCUGAGAGGAUGAUCAGCCACACUGGAACUGAGACACGGCCCAGACUCCUACGGGAGGCAGCAGUGGGGAAUAUUGCACAAUGGGGGCAAGCCUGAUGCAGCCAGGCCGCGUGUAGGAAGAAGGCCUUAGGGUUGUAAAGUACUUUCAGCGGGGAGGCGUUACCCGCAGAAGAAGCACCGGCUAACUCCGUGCCAGCAGCCGCGGUAAUUC
rnacentral:rRNA from 1 species